rnacentral:rRNA from 1 species
ACCUGCGGAAGGAUCAUUAUUGAAAUAAACCUGAUGAGUUGCUGCUGGUUCUCUAGGGAGCAUGUGCACACUUGUCAUCUUUAUAUCUCCACCUGUGAACCUUUUGUAGACCUGGAUAUCUCUCUGAAUUUGCCUGGCAGAUUCGGGUUUAAGGAUUGAUCUGUUCUUUCCUUGUGUUUUCAGGUCUAUGUUUUUUCAUAUACCCCAAUGUAUGUUUAUAGAAUGUAAUAAACAGGCCUCUGUGCCUAUAAACUUAUACAACUUUCAGCAACGGAUCUCUUGGCUCUCGCAUCGAUGAAGAACGCAGCGAAAUGCGAUAAGUAAUGUGAAUUGCAGAAUUCAGUGAAUCAUCGAAUCUUUGAACGCAUCUUGCGCUCCUUGGUAUUCCGAGGAGCAUGCCUGUUUGAGUGUCAUUAAUAUAUCAACCCUCUUUUGCUUUUUUUGCAUGUCGAGUGUUGGAUGUGGGGGUUUUUGCUGGACUCUCUCCUUGAGGUCAGCUCUCCUAAAAUACAUUAGCAAAACAAUUUGUUUACUGCUCAUUGGUGUGAUAAAUAUCUACGCUAUUGGCGGUAUAAAGCACAGUUUAGCUUCUAACAGUCCAUUGACUUGGACAAUCUUUUAUCAAUGUGACCUCAAAUCAGGUAGGAUUACCCGCUGAACUUAA